GUUCAGAUUGCAGGCUGCAACUCGCCUGCAUGAAGUUGGAAUUGCUAGUAAUCGCGAAUCAGAAUGUCGCGGUGAAUACGUUCCCGGGCCCUUGUACACACCGCCCGUCACACCAUGAGAGCCGAUAACACCCGAAGCCUGUGAGCUAACCGUAAGGGGGCAGCAGUCGAAGGUGGGGUUGGUGAUUGGGGUGAAGUCGUAACAAGGUAGC
rnacentral:rRNA from 1 species